rnacentral:rRNA from 1 species
GACAGAGGGUGCGAGCGUUGUCCGGAAUUAUUGGGCGUAAAGAGCUCGUAGGCGGUCUGUCGCGUCGGUCGUGAAAACUUGGGGCUUAACCCUGAGCUUGCGGUCGAUACGGGCAUGACUGGAGUUCGGUAGGGGAGACUGGAAUUCCUGGUGUAGCGGUGAAAUGCGCAGAUAUCAAGAGGAACACCUGCGGCGAAGGCGGGUUGCUGGGCCGACACUGACGCUGAUGCGCGAAAGCUAGGGGAGCGAAGCGGG